rnacentral:rRNA from 1 species
GGGUUGUGAGGUUAAGCGACUAAGCGUACACGGUGGAUGCCCUGGCAGUCAGAGGCGAUGAAGGGCGUGCUAAUCUGCGAUAAGCGCCGGUAAGGUGAUAUGAACCGUUAUAACCGGCGAUACCCGAAUGGGGAAACCCAGUGUGACUCGUCACACUAUCAUUAACUGAAUCCAUAGGUUAAUGAGGCGAACCGGGGGAACUGAAACAUCUAAGUACCCCGAGGAAAAGAAAUCAACCGAGAUUCCCCCAGUAGCGGCGAGCGAACGGGGAGGAGCCCAGAGCCUGAAUCAGCAUGUGUGUUAGUGGAAGCGUCUGGAAAGGCGCGCGAUACAGGGUGACAGCCCCGUACACAAAAGCGCAUGUGCUGUGAGCUCGAUGAGUAGGGCGGGACACGUGGUAUCCUGUCUGAAUAUGGGGGGACCAUCCUCCAAGGCUAAAUACUCCUGACUGACCGAUAGUGAACCAGUACCGUGAGGGAAAGGCGAAAAGAACCCCGGCGAGGGGAGUGAAAAAGAACCUGAAACCGUGUACGUACAAGCAGUGGGAGCACCCUUUGGGGUGUGACUGCGUACCUUUUGUAUAAUGGGUCAGCGACUUAUAUUCUGUAGCAAGGUUAACCGUAUAGGGGAGCCGGAGGGAAACCGAGUCUUAAUUGGGCGUUAAGUUGCAGGGUAUAGACCCGAAACCCGGUGAUCUAGCCAUGGGCAGGUUGAAGGUUGGGUAACACUAACUGGAGGACCGAACCGACUAAUGUUGAAAAAUUAGCGGAUGACCUGUGGCUGGGGGUGAAAGGCCAAUCAAACCGGGAGAUAGCUGGUUCUCCCCGAAAGCUAUUUAGGUAGCGCCUCGUGAAUUCAUCUCCGGGGGUAGAGCACUGUUUCGGCUAGGGGGCCAUCCCGGCUUACCAACCCGAUGCAAACUGCGAAUACCGGAGAAUGUUAUCACGGGAGACACACGGCGGGUGCUAACGUCCGUCGUGAAGAGGGAAACAACCCAGACCGCCAGCUAAGGUCCCAAAGUCAUGGUUAAGUGGGAAACGAUGUGGGAAGGCCCAGACAGCCAGGAUGUUGGCUUAGAAGCAGCCAUCAUUUAAAGAAAGCGUAAUAGCUCACUGGUCGAGUCGGCCUGCGCGGAAGAUGUAACGGGGCUAAACCAUGCACCGAAGCUGCGGCAGCGAACGUAUCACUUAAAGUGAUUCAGCGGGUUACGAUUGACGGAGCGAAGCGACGUCAAAGCGUAUACAAAGUCGAGUCGGUUUAAGGAUACGUUCGUUGGGUAGGGGAGCGUUCUGUAAGCCUGUGAAGGUGGCCUGUGAGGGUUGCUGGAGGUAUCAGAAGUGCGAAUGCUGACAUAAGUAACGAUAAAGCGGGUGAAAAGCCCGCUCGCCGGAAGACCAAGGGUUCCUGUCCAACGUUAAUCGGGGCAGGGUGAGUCGACCCCUAAGGCGAGGCCGAAAGGCGUAGUCGAUGGGAAACGGGUUAAUAUUCCCGUACUUGGUGUUACUGCGAAGGGGGGACGGAGAAGGCUAUGUUGGCCGGGCGACGGUUGUCCCGGUUUAAGCGUGUAGGUGUGUGUUCCAGGUAAAUCCGGUUCACUUUAACACUGAGGCGUGAUGACGAGGCACUACGGUGCUGAAGUAACAAAUGCCCUGCUUCCAGGAAAAGCCUCUAAGCAUCAGGUAACAUCAAAUCGUACCCCAAACCGACACAGGUGGUCAGGUAGAGAAUACCAAGGCGCUUGAGAGAACUCGGGUGAAGGAACUAGGCAAAAUGGUGCCGUAACUUCGGGAGAAGGCACGCUGACACGUAGGUGAAGUGAUUUACUCACGGAGCUGAAGUCAGUCGAAGAUACCAGCUGGCUGCAACUGUUUAUUAAAAACACAGCACUGUGCAAACACGAAAGUGGACGUAUACGGUGUGACGCCUGCCCGGUGCCGGAAGGUUAAUUGAUGGGGUCAGCGCAAGCGAAGCUCCUGAUCGAAGCCCCGGUAAACGGCGGCCGUAACUAUAACGGUCCUAAGGUAGCGAAAUUCCUUGUCGGGUAAGUUCCGACCUGCACGAAUGGCGUAAUGAUGGCCAGGCUGUCUCCACCCGAGACUCAGUGAAAUUGAACUCGCUGUGAAGAUGCAGUGUACCCGCGGCAAGACGGAAAGACCCCGUGAACCUUUACUAUAGCUUGACACUGAACAUUGAGCCUUGAUGUGUAGGAUAGGUGGGAGGCUUUGAAGUGUGGACGCCAGUCUGCAUGGAGCCGACCUUGAAAUACCACCCUUUAAUGUUUGAUGUUCUAACGUGGACCCGUGAUCCGGGUUGCGGACAGUGUCUGGUGGGUAGUUUGACUGGGGCGGUCUCCUCCUAAAGAGUAACGGAGGAGCACGAAGGUUGGCUAAUCCUGGUCGGACAUCAGGAGGUUAGUGCAAUGGCAUAAGCCAGCUUGACUGCGAGCGUGACGGCGCGAGCAGGUGCGAAAGCAGGUCAUAGUGAUCCGGUGGUUCUGAAUGGAAGGGCCAUCGCUCAACGGAUAAAAGGUACUCCGGGGAUAACAGGCUGAUACCGCCCAAGAGUUCAUAUCGACGGCGGUGUUUGGCACCUCGAUGUCGGCUCAUCACAUCCUGGGGCUGAAGUAGGUCCCAAGGGUAUGGCUGUUCGCCAUUUAAAGUGGUACGCGAGCUGGGUUUAGAACGUCGUGAGACAGUUCGGUCCCUAUCUGCCGUGGGCGCUGGAGAACUGAGGGGGGCUGCUCCUAGUACGAGAGGACCGGAGUGGACGCAUCACUGGUGUUCGGGUUGUCAUGCCAAUGGCACUGCCCGGUAGCUAAAUGCGGAAGAGAUAAGUGCUGAAAGCAUCUAAGCACGAAACUUGCCCCGAGAUGAGUUCUCCCUGAGACUUUAGGUCUCCUGAAGGAACGUUGAAGACGACGACGUUGAUAGGCCGGGUGUGUAAGCGCAGCGAUGCGUUGAGCUAACCGGUACUAAUGAACCGUGAGGCUUAACCUUACAACGCCGAAGCUGUU